AAUUUUAUUUUUUAUUUAAUAUAUAAUAUUAAUUUUAAUUGUUAAUAAUAGAAUUAACUUUUGUUUUAGUAUUUUUAAAUGAAUCAAUUAUAUUUUAUUUAUAGCUUAUUUUACUGUAAAGGUUUAUUAUUUAUUAUAAUAUAAGUAGAUUUAAAUUUUUGUACCUUUUGUAUCAGGGUUUAUUAAAAUUUAUAAUUUAUUAAUUAUGUUCCCGAAGUUAGAAGAGAUAUUAAUAUUUGUUAUAUAAUGUUUUAUAAUUAAUAAUAAAUAUUUAAUAGAGGUUAUAUGCUAUUCAUUUUUAAAUAUCUGGUUUCUUAAUAAUUGAAUUUAAUUCAUAAUUUAAGUUGUUAAUUAGUAAAAUUAUUAACUAUUAAUAUUUUAAAUUUAAAAUUAUAGGGGAUAAGCUCUAUAAUUAUUUUAUACUAUAAUUUAAUAAUUAAAUAUUUUGUAGGAUUGAAAAUUUUCAUCAUUUAUUUUGUUAUAAUUAAAUAUUUAAUUAUAUUUAUUUUUUAAUUAGUUAAUUAUAUAUUAGGAAUUAUUAUUUAAUAAUAAAAUUUUAGUUAUAAUGAUAAAAUUAGUAGUUUAUUUUAAUUAAUAUAUAGUAACUUGGCAAAUAUAUUCUUCACCUGUUUAACAAAAACAUGUCUUGAUGACUAUAUUUAUAUUAAGUCUAGCCUGCUCAAUGAUUCAAAAAUUAAAUAGCCGCAGUAUUUUGACUGUGCGAAGGUAGCAUAAUCAUUUGUCUUUUAAUUGGGGACUGGUAUGAAUGGUUUGAUGAAGGAAUAACUUUCUUUAUAUUAAAUAUUGAAUUUAAUUUUUUAGUCAAAAAGCUAAAAUUUUUAAAUGGGACGAGAAGACCCUAUAGAAUUUUAUUUUUAUAUUUAUUAUUAUAAUUUUGGUUAUUUUUUUAUAUUAAUAAUUUGAAAAUUUUGUUGGGGCGACAUUGAGAUUACAAAAACUCUCAUAAAUUAAUUUUUAUUAAUUUUUAUAUUUAAGAUCCUAUUUUAUGGAUAUUUAGAUUAAAUUACCUUAGGGAUAACAGCGUAAUUCUUUUGGAAAGUUCUUAUUAAUAAAGGAGUUUGCGACCUCGAUGUUGGAUUAAAAUUAGAUUUGAGUGCAGCAGCUUAAUUUCUAGGUCUGUUCGACCUUUAAAAUUUUACAUGAUCUGAGUUCAGACCGGCGUGAGCCAGGUCGGUUUCUAUCUUUUUAUAAAUAUUAUAAAUUAGUACGAAAGGACCAUUUAUAACAAAUAUUUUGUUUAAUUUUGAAUAACUGUAAAUAU
rnacentral:rRNA from 1 species